rnacentral:lncRNA from 11 species
UUUUCGCUCAAUCAGAAGCCGAGAGGGGCUCUGCGACCAAUAGCAGCGCCUGUUGCAAAUAACGUCAAUAAAAAACCCACCCGGCGCAAGAGGCGGGGCUGCGGAUUGGACGGCGCCUCGGUGGGCGGGGCGUGGAUCCCGGAAGUGAGCCGUGUGAACAUAGAGCUAUGCAGGAGGAUCCAGGCCCCCGCCGCGGUGUCCUUUGCUCGGCGCCCGCCCCUGGCCGCGGCCCUUCCUCCGGGAGAGAUCGGGACUGGCCAGCCAGCCUUUGGGGCCUCGCCCUGUGUUCCUCGGGGUUCCCUCUCUCUCUCCCUUUCCGUCUCCCAGUUGCUCCCUGCCCUGCUACAAGAAGCACCAAGAGCAAUGUACCCCCAAAGUAGACCCAACUCAGCCGCGAAAUGUUCCCCAAGACGAUCCCAGAACAAAACCAUCAAGUGCGGAAGGAAGGUCUGUAUGUCUGCUCAAGAGAAGGAUCCCUUUGUAUGUCAAUAUAAUGUAUUUCUUCAGUGAGAAGAAGUGUGAGAACAAAUGUUCUGAUAGGAAAGGUGGGUGAAAAGAUAGAAUAAGUGAAGAAUAAAAAGAGAAGAAGAGAAAGAAAAAAAAUUAAAAUCAUAUUAGUAGUCAAUAGAAAGGGUAAAAAAUAAAGAAAAUAACGGAAAUAGUAAUAAAUAAUAAAAAAUAUAUUCAAUUUUAGAUAUUACAUAUGUCCCAUUCUUAACUAGGAGCAAUUUAUAAGUCGGAUGUUUGUAACUUGGGGGACACAGCCUGGGUCUCCUCACCCGUGGAGGUUUUAACUUGAGACCCUUUUCUCCGUUCCCUCAGGAGGCCCUUUUGCUGUGGAUGACAUCUUGACGAAGAUGACGAAGGCGACAAGGUCCCGCUCCAUAACCUCCAGUGCUUAGGUAAGCUUCCUGGUUUAUUUCUGCCAUAUAUAUAUAUGUGUGUGUGUGUGUGUGUGUGUGUGUGUAUGUAUGUACAUAUAUAUAGGUAAAGGUAUUCCCCUGACAUUAAGUCUAGUCCAUUUCUAAGCCGAAGAGCCAGCGUUGUCCAUA